CAUUUAAAUUUCUUUAUUAAUUUCUUAUAUAUAAUUUAUAUUAAAUAUAAAAAUAUAUUUUUUAAAUAAAAAGACGAUAAGACCCUAUUAAAUUUUACUUAUAGUUUAACUGGGGAAGUUUUAAAAAUAAAAUUUUUUAUAAAAAUAAAAAUAAAUCUAAUAAAAUUAAAAUUAAAUUAAAUUACUAUARGGAUAACAGCAUUAUAUUUUUUAAAAGUUCAUAUUAAAAAAAAUGAUUGUGACCUCGAUGUUGAAUUAUAUUUUCUUUAUUAAUGCAAUAAUUAUAAAAGUAGAUCUGUUCGAUCUUUAAAAUAUUACAUGAUUUGAGUUCAAACCGGUGUAAACCAGGUUGGUUUCUAUCUUUUUAUAAAUUCUAUAUAUAUAUAUAUAUAUAAAUUUUUCAAGUACGAAAGGAAAAAAAAAUUUUUAUUUUAAUUAAUUAGCAAUUAAUAUGCAUUAGAUUUAGAAUCUAAAUAAACUAUUAUU
rnacentral:misc_RNA from 1 species